UCUACCAAAGGAGAACAGCCCCUCCUCUGGUCUUAGGCGCCAAAACUCUUGGUGCAAAUCCAAGUGGUAGAA
rnacentral:tRNA from 2 species